CUGGCUCUCACUCAGUGGUGAAUAAUCUAGCUGGGGCCUCCAAAUGUUGUAACAAAGCGAUUUAGAGAGAAACACCACAAUUUGAGACGAAUUCAGGAGUCCUUUAUUAG
rnacentral:pre_miRNA from 1 species